AACUUUCGGCAACGGAUCACGAGUGUCGAUCUGGAGAACGCGAUCAUGGGACAUCCAAAAGUUCUCGAAGCCGCGGUGAUCGCGGUGGAGCAUCCCACGUGGGUCGAGCGCCCCCUCGCCGUCAUCGUUCCGAAGCCCCAGUUUCAGGAUCGUGUCACUAAAGAGGAGAUCCUUGCGUUCCUUGAGCCGCGUUUCGCCAAAUGGUGGCUGCCGGACGACGUGCUGUUCGUCGAUGCGAUCCCCAAAACCAGCGUGGGCAAGUUCGACAAAAAAGUGAUGCGCGCGCAAUUCAAACAGCGGCCCGGCGCAGCCACGGAACCAGUUUGAACUGGGCGGUGGCGUGCUGCACGGCGGGAGAAAGAUCGAGCCCGCGGUCCACUUAAGCAUAUCAAUAAGCGGAGGCU
rnacentral:misc_RNA from 1 species